UACGGAAGGGGCAAGCGUUGUUCGGAAUCAUUGGGCGUAAAGGGCGCGUAGGUGGUUCUGUAUGUCUACCGUGAAAGCGUACGGCUCAACCGUAUUUUGUCGGUGGAAACUGCAGGACUCGAGGCUGGGAGGGGCUGGUGGAAUUCCCUGUGUAGCGGUGAAAUGCGUAGAGAUGGGGGAGAACACUCGUGGCGAAGGCGGCCAGCUAGACCAGUUCUGACACUGAGACACGAAGGCCAGGGGAGCAAACGGG
rnacentral:rRNA from 1 species